rnacentral:rRNA from 1 species
GACGAACGCUGGCGGCGUGCUUAACACAUGCAAGUCGAACGGAAAGGCCCUGCUUUUGUGGGGUGCUCGAGUGGCGAACGGGUGAGUAACACGUGAGUAACCUGCCCUUGACUUUGGGAUAACUUCAGGAAACUGGGGCUAAUACCGGAUAGGAGCUCCUGCUGCGUGUUGGUGGUUGGAAAGUUUCGGCGGUUGGGGAUGGACUCGAGGCUUAUGAGCUUGUUGGUGGGGUAGUGGCUUACGAAGGCUUUGACGGGUAGCCGGCCUGAGAGGGUGACCGGGCUCAAUGGGCCUGAGAUACGGCCCAGAAUCGUACGGGAGGCAGCAGUGGGGAAUAUUGCACAAUGGGCGGGCGCCUGAUGCAGAGACGCCGCGUGCGUGAUGCCGGGUUUCGGGGCGUAAACAGAUUUGGCAUGUGAUGAAGAGUGAGUGACGGUAAUGGGUAAAGAAGCCACGGCUAACUACGUG